rnacentral:guide_RNA from 1 species
AUUAAUUAAUUACUGUAAUAUGAUUUGCAG